AUAGAAUCUUGAAAAACUAUUGGAUUUAAUGUGCUAAUGUAAUAAAAUUUUGAUGGCUUUCAUAUCGCAUUUCAUCAAAACAUGACUAUGCAAUAAAACUUUAAUAAUAUUGAAUAUAUUGGAGUAUGCGUUCUUAUAGUCUUUUGAGAUGGAUGGAGACAAGGAUUGACUUCUGCCUGCACAAAUCCAUAAUACCCUUUCUUAAUCAACAUACCAUACGAACAGGGUAUAACAAGAACAGCACAGGCAGUCAGUGGCCUGACUCGCAUUCAGAACUCGACUUGUUUGGGGAAUUUCGCUGCCGGUGCCGUUGCUGCUGCUGCUGCUGUUGGUGGCGCUUCUCAAAAGGCAGGCAAAAGGAAUUUUUUCAUACGCAAAUUAAAUCUACAUCCCGUAGCACUUGGUCUCAGCUAUGUGCCACGCCCACAUAGACAGUGGAAGACGCAUGCCUUGGCAAAUAUUCAUUACAUAAUAAUAAACUAAACUCGGCACAGCCAAAAUCAAAUUGCACAAAAAAACAAAUGUUAGCAAUGCGUGGCAUGCCACAAGCAGCGGGGCGGUGCAGCGCCCCAAUAUAUUUUAUUUUAUUUAUGUCUGUGUGUGUGUGUAAAUGUGUGUGUUUGUGGCAAAUCAAUGACAUGUAAAAACUCUAAUUAAACGCACGUUUCUGGCGCGGUACAUUUCCGCACAUAGCAGGCCAUAAAAUGGAAA